CAGCAGCCGCGGGAAUACAGAGGGUGCGAGCGUUAAUCGGAUUUACUGGGCGUAAAGCGUGCGUAGGCGGCUUCUUAAGUCGGAUGUGAAAUCCCUGAGCUUAACUUAGGAAUUGCAUUCGAUACUGGGAAGCUAGAGUAUGGGAGAGGAUGGUAGAAUUCCAGGUGUAGCGGUGAAAUGCGUAGAUAUCUGGAGGAAUACCGAUGGCGAAGGCAGCCAUCUGGCCUAAUACUGACGCUGAGGUACGAAAGCAUGGGGAGCAAACAGGAUUAGAUACCCCCGUAGUCCCUGUCUCUUAUAC
rnacentral:rRNA from 1 species